GAGGGUAUAGCUCAAGUGGAGCACAUGCUUAGCAUGCAUGAGGUUUUGGGUUCAAUCCCCAGUACCUCCU
rfam:Camelus ferus unplaced genomic scaffold scaffold843, whole genome shotgun sequence.